CAAGUACAGACAUGCCCGAGUCAUCAAGGCGACCAGUAGGGAACUCAGUUAUCUUCAACUUGUUGCCAUUUUCACAGGUUACAUGACCGUGCCGGUGCUGAAUCUUAAGCCUUCUGACAUACUCUGUAUCACUUCGUUCUUCUUGUAUUGUUUGAGUUUCACUUGGCUCUACGCACCACUUUUAGUGAAGGCUGUUCGAAUAUACCGGAUAUUUGAAGGUGGAAAAACGUCUACGACACGGAUGAAGUGUAUAAGUCCCAAGUCGCAGGUCAUCUUCACGGCCAUACU
rnacentral:sRNA from 1 species